CAGCGGUCUCCCUUUCCAGCUGGGCUCGGGUCCCGCGUGCCUGUCAAUCACCUGCGCGUCUGUCAAUCACUUGCGCUCGGCCCCUGACGCCGGGUGGAGCCGCGCGCGCGCGGUGCACGCCGGUCCGCCUCUUCCAGCCGCCCCCCGUGAUUGCACUGCGUCCCGGGGGCCUGGACUCGCCCCCACGUCCUCUGGGCCCGCGGGACAGGGUCAGUGAGGGACCCCGGGUCCCGCCAUCAUGGCUGGGCUGCACCCCAGGAGACGGCCAGCGUCCCAAACGCCCGGCUGCCCGGAGCGCGGGGGCCUCUGGGAAAAUCCUCAGCGCAUCCUCACCUUGGAAUCGGCCUCCUGCCCGCUGGACCCUCCGUGAUGGACAGGCCUUCCUCGGCGGAGUGACCUCUGACCCGACGGAGCCGACCCGUUUCCUGUCUACACUUCCGGACGGCGCGUCCCCCCGACCCUAAAACCCGGGGCCCUCAAACGCACCCCGUGCCUGAACCCCGACCCCUGCCAGGGCCCCACGGCCGGACUCGGGGACGCCCACCGUUUCCGCCCCCCGCCGCCAGCCCGCCCGAGCCCGCAGGACCGCGGCGUCUACGCAACAAGCCACGGCGGGGAGAGGUUUAAAUCCGUGCUAAUGCUGAUGACCAAUUACCGUCGUCAAUUAGGGGGAAACGCUCAUAAUGAAGAGAAUCCACUUAAUUUCAAGCCAGGCCUAAGGCCUGCAGGGUUGUUUUUUUUUUUUCUUCACCCUCGUUUCUUAGACUUUUCAUUAGGGAAAAAGAGAAAAAAAAAAGUUAAUGGGUGUAAUCCAUGCGGGUAGUUUGUGGGCAGAAACAAGUAAUUUAGGUCCUGGGAGGCCAAACGGACUAUUGUUAUUUUGACAGCCUGCUAAUUUCAGGCCCUGCAAUUAGCCGGUGCCAGCGGUUAAUUGCAGAAACGCGGUUAAUAUUACGGGGGUUCGUAUGUGUGAUCCGAGGCGGUUUCUCUGGGUCGUGUGGGGAGCACUCACGGUCGGGGCCCCGGUGAACGCCGUGCCCUCCUGGGCGUGUCCGCGAGUCCGGGGUCAGCGUCCGGCUCACCCGGGUCCAGCCCUGUGUGUAGACUGGACUGGAAGGAUCUGUGCCAGCAGCAGCGUGGCCCAGCCUGGCGACUACCACCGGUCCUGCUCCGUCCACACUGGCCCAGGGGAGCACCAUGACCCUGGACCUGCCCCGUCCACACUGGCCCAGGGGAGCACCAUGACCCUGGACCCUGCUCCGUCCACACUGGCCCAGGUGAACUCCAUGACCCUGGACCUGCUCCGUCCACACUGGCCCAGGUGAGAGUCAUGACCCUGGACCUGCCCCGUCCACACUGGCCCAGGGGAGCACCAUGACCCUGGACCUGCCCGGUCCACACUGGCCCAGGUGAACUCCAUGACCCUGGACCUGCUCCGUCCACACUGGCCCAGGUGAGAGUCAUGACCCUGGACCUGCCCCGUCCACACUGGCCCAGGGGAGCACCAUGACCCUGGACCUGCCCCGUCCACACUGGCCCAGGUGAACUCCAUGACCCUGGACCUGCUCCGUCCACACUGGCCCAGGUGAGAGUCAUGACCCUGGACCUGCUCCGUCCACACUGGCCCAGGUGAACUCCAUGACCCUGGACCUGCUCCGUCCACACUGGCCCAGGUGAACUCCAUGACCCUGGACCUGCUCCGUCCACACUGGCCCAGGGGAGCACCAUGACCCUGGACCUGCUCCGUCCACACUGGCCCAGGUGAACUCCAUGACCCUGGACCUGCUCCGUCCACACUGGCCCAGGGGAGCACCAUGAACCUGGACCCUGCUCCGUCCACACUGGCCCAGGUGAACUCCAUGACCCUGGACCUGCUCCGUCCACACUGGCCCAGGUGAGAGUCAUGACCCUGGACCUGCCCCGUCCACACUGGCCCAGGGGAGCACCAUGACCCUGGACCUGCCCGGUCCACACUGGCCCAGGUGAACUCCAUGACCCUGGACCUGCUCCGUCCACACUGGCCCAGGUGAACUCCAUGACCCUGGACCUGCUCCGUCCACACUGGCCCAGGUGAGCACCAUGACCCUGGACCCUGCUCCGUCCACACUGGCCCAGGUGAACUCCAUGACCCUGGACCUGCUCCGUCCACACUGGCCCAGGUGAGAGUCAUGACCCUGGACCUGCCCCGUCCACACUGGCCCAGGGGAGCACCAUGACCCUGGACCUGCCCGGUCCACACUGGCCCAGGUGAACUCCAUGACCCUGGACCUGCUCCGUCCACACUGGCCCAGGUGAACUCCAUGACCCUGGACCUGCUCCGUCCAC
rnacentral:lncRNA from 1 species